UGAGCAUUCCAAACGGCCCAUCUGCACUAGCAAUAAAGGAAGCAGCAUGGGGUCAUGCUCGCUAUGCUGCCAUUUCUCAAGAAAAUGGAUUGAGUCGA